AACAUCUGUAAACAGCUUGGACGCGGGGUGUAUCCUAAUUGUGGACAUUGUUUUCUCCGUUACAGAAAGCGACUGAGCCUGAGUAACAGCUGGAAUAGAUACCUGAAUGGUUGCCUCACAAGCUGAAACCAAAUGUUCUGUUUACGACGCAAUGCAGGAGACGAUCGAUCAUGUUUAGAUAAACGUCUCAACUGUAAACUGUGGUUCUAGCAUCUUUUGCGUUGCUGGUGGAGCUGAUUAUUGAUAUCAGACCAGAUCUAGUAGCAGUGAAGACAGUCAAAUUCUGACUGGAUUAUUAGUGUCGCUGAUAUUGACAUUCCAACUUCUUUGUUCGUUCUCAUUUCAUACCCUAUUGUGGCCAGAUGUAGUAGCAGUGAAAACAGCUAGAUUGUCAGUGGAUUACUGAUGUCUAGAUCUAGUAUGAGUGAAAAUAUUCAGGUGUUUACUGGACUGGAAUUACACGUUCGCUCCAUGCACAUAGUGCGCUUCUUUAGCACGUUACAAGUCAACGUAACUAUAGGCUCAAAACUUUACUAAGGUACUCGAUAAUUGCUUAACUAACGUCAGGGCACUUUCAUGAUCCAAUAAA